GGAAAAUGCCAUUAGGAGGUUGGCCUUCCUGGAAGAAGCAGGUUGCAGAAGGUGUGCUUCUGGUGUCUUUCCCCACCUCUGGCUUGUCCCUGGUUCUAUGAGUCCCAGGUCCCCUGAGGGGAGCAAUUUUCACCCACAGGCCGCUGCUGCCUAGGAGCCAUUUCUGCCAUGGACUGAAUUCUCUGGAAUGGUAAAUGGCUGAUUUUAGAGCCGGAGCAGAAAGUAAGCAAGGUCCAGUUGUGAGCCAUGUCCUGAAGGGUGGCACCCAUACAAAAGUGGGAAAUGUCCACGUGCAUAUCAGGAGGGACUGCAUGAAGUGAACCAUGUGGCAUAACAAGACCCAAGAACAAAACCCAAAACAUUUUAGAACUUGUCCUCGUGCCCCAGCCCUCCCACAACUGCUCUGCAAGAGCCAUCACCAUCUGAUGCCAAGCGCUAUGAAUUCAUUUUAGACAUUUUCAAAUUUCCCCUGAAUGAAAUUAAUGUCACGUAAAUCCUUUAUUAUUUGAUUUUUUCUUUUCUCCAUGGCCAGUGAGGACUGCAUCCAUGUCACUGGGUGCAGUCCUCGUAGGUCCUUCUCAUUCUGUGCUUCCCAUGAACUCUACUGCACUUUACCAAUCUUCUCUCUACCAAUGAGCCAGGGGGUAGUUCUCUAGAUUUAAACAUCAAACAAAAAUUUAUACAACAGGCACUGCUGUAAACAGUCUUACAUGUAUCUUAUGAGUGCAAUACAACUGAGUUCUUGAUUAUUUAAAGAUAAUUUCGCUGAAUGUAAAAUUGUAAGUGCACAUAAAAUCUAUCCUAGGGUUUCUUAAAGUACUGUUACAUAACUAUCUGUUUUGUUGUGCUUCUAGAAAAAAUAUGGUGUCAAUGUGAUGGUAUUUCCUGUGUUAUUAGUAGACCUUUUUGUGAGAACACCGUGAAGUUUGGUUCUUAUCUUUAAAAUAAAAAUAGAGUUAUCAGAAGGUUUUUGGCACAUUGACUACUUUAGGUCAGUUUUCUCAAGAACUUUGAGGGCCCUGACAAGUACAGAUUCAGAUCUUAAUUCAGGUCUAAUUUCUCCAAGAUUACUGUAUUGUGCUAUAAAAUAUUAGACCUACAUAUUAUAUUUGACAAAGAGGCCGAAUCCCUUCACUGAAGAAAAGAUAGCCUCUUCAGAAAUGGUGCUAGGAAAGCUGGUUAUCACAUGCCAAAGGUUGAUCUUAGACCUCUAUUUCUCACCAUCCACCCAACUAAAAUAAAAAUCGGUCAAAAAUCUAAACAUUAGAACAGAUACACUUAAUCUGCUAGAAGACAAUACAGGUAAAACUCUUGAAGACCUAGGUACAGGCAAAGACUUUCUGAACAAACAUCAGUUGCAUAAUAAAUAAUACCAAGAAUUAACAAAUGGGAAUAUGUCAAAUUAAAAAUCUUCUGCACAGCAAAGGAGAUAACCAAUAGAGUGAAGAGAAAACGUACAGAAUGGGGAAAAACUUUUCCAGUUAUUCCUCUGACCAAGAACUAUCUAGAAUGUAUAAAGAACUCUAAAAAUUUAGAUCCCCUAAAUAUAAAGACUCAGUACAAAAUGGGUAUCUCAAAUGAAUAACUACUUCUCAGAUGAAAAAUGCAGAGUCAGUAAACAAACAAAAAAUGUUUGGUGUCACUGAUCAUUUGAGAAAUGCGAACUAGUACAACACUGAGGCUCUAUCUCACUCCAGAAACAACAGCUAUCAUCAAAAAAUCAAGCAAUAAGAAAUGUUCGCCAUGCUACGGGGAGAAAGGAACACUUCCGCAUUGUUAGAACUGCAAACUGAUACAACUACAUUGAAAUCAGUAUGGAGAUUCCUCCAAAACUAAAAGUAGAAAUACCAUUAGACCCACCUAUUCCUCUUCUAGGCAGCUUCCCAAAAGACUUGAUUACAUAGUACCAGUGAAUUUGUGCAACCUAUAAUAAAGCUCAGAAGCAGCCCAUAUGUUGAAAAGGUAGUAUUCACAUCAGUGAAGUCCAACUGUGCCAAACAGAAGGAUAAACUUCAGUCAUUUGUAGGAAAAUGAAUGCAUCUUAUGACCACAAUGUGUAACACACACACACACACACACACACACACACACACACACACGGAAAAAAAAAAAAGAGAAAAAAUUAUGGCAAUUCAGCAUAAUGUAUCUACAAGUGUACCUUGACUUACUACAAUUGUUUCACAUGUUUUAUGUUCUUGGGCUCAU